AACGGGUGAGUAAUACAUAAGUAACCUGCCUUAUACAGGGGGAUAACAGUCAGAAAUGGCUGCUAAUACCGCAUAAGCGCACAGAGCUGCAUGGCUCAGUGUGAAAAACUCCGGUGGUAUAAGAUGGACCCGCGUUGGAUUAGCUAGUUGGUGGGGUAACGGCCCACCAAGGCGACGAUCCAUAGCCGGCCUGAGAGGGUGAACGGCCACAUUGGGACUGAGACACGGCCCAGACUCCUACGGGAGGCAGCAUG
rnacentral:rRNA from 1 species